rnacentral:misc_RNA from 1 species
GAUGAAGAACGCAGCGAAAUGCGAUAAGUAGUGUGAAUUGCAGAAUUCAGUGAAUCAUCGAAUCUUUGAACGCACAUUGCGCCCCUUGGUAUUCCAUGGGGCAUGCCUGUUCGAGCGUCAUUUGUACCCUCCAGCCCUGCUGGGUAUUGGGCGUUUUGUUCCGCUACGCGCGUGAACUCGCCUCAAAUGCAUUGGCAGCCCGCCGUCCCGUGUGGGAGCGCAGCACAUUUUGCGCUCUCCGCUGCUGACGGUGGCAUCCACAAGUCUACCAUUUUACGCUUGACCUCGGAUCAGGUAGGGAUACCCGCUGAACUUAAGCAUAUCAAAAGCGGAGGA